ACGCUCGACACCUACGGGGGCAGCAGUGGGGAAUAUUGGGCAAUGGGCGCAAGCCUGACCCAGCAACGCCGCGUGAAGGAAGAAGGCUUUCGGGUUGUAAACUUCUUUUGUCAGGGAACAGUAGAUGAGGGUACCUGACGAAUAAGCUCCGGCUAACUACGUGCCAGCAGCCGCGGUAAUCUGAGGCGGGCUGGCAAGGC
rnacentral:rRNA from 1 species